rnacentral:rRNA from 1 species
GAUGAACGCUAGCUACAGGCUUAACACAUGCCAGUCGCGGGGCAGCAUGGGGGUUGCUUGCAACUCCCGAUGGCGACCGGCGCACGGGUGAGUAACGCGUAUCCAACCUGCCCUUCACCACGGGAUAACCCGGCGAAAGUCGGACUAAUACCGUAUGUUGUCCAUUGACGGCAUCCGAUUUGGACGAAAGGCUUUGCGGUGAAGGAUGGGGAUGCGUCCGAUUAGCCAGACGGCGGGGUAACGGCCCACCGUGGCUACGAUCGGUAGGGGUUCUGAGAGGAAGGUCCCCCACACUGGAACUGAGACACGGUCCAGACUCCUACGGGAGGCAGCAGUGAGGAAUAUUGGUCAAUGGGCGUAAGCCUGAACCAGCCAAGUAGCGUGCAGGAUGACGGCCCUAUGGGUUGUAAACUGCUUUUAUGCGGGGAUAAAGUGGCCCACGUGUGGGCUUUUGCAGGUACCGCAUGAAUAAGGACCGGCUAAUUCCGUG